rnacentral:rRNA from 1 species
CCUACGGGAGGCAGCAGUGAGGAAUAUUGGUCAAUGGACGAGAGUCUGAACCAGCCAAGUAGCGUGAAGGAUGACUGCCCUAUGGGUUGUAAACUUCUUUUAUAUGGGAAUAAAACGUUCCACGUGUGGGAUUUUGUAUGUACCAUAUGAAUAAGGAUCGGCUAACUCCGUGCCAGCAGCCGCGGUAAUACGGAGGAUCCGAGCGUUAUCCGGAUUUCUUGGGUUUAAAGGGAGCGUAGGUGGAUUGUUAAGUCAGUUGUGAAAGUUUGGGGCUCAACCGUAAAAUUGCAGUUGAAACUGGCAGUCUUGAGUACAGUAGAGGUGGGCGGAAUUCGUGGUGUAGCGGUGAAAUGCUUAGAUAUCACGAAGAACUCCGAUUGCGAAGGCAGCUCACUGGACUGAAACUGACACUGAGGCUCGAAAGUGUGGGUAUCAAACAGGAUUAGAUACCCGUGUAGUC